UGGGGAAUAUUGCACAAUGGGGGGAACCCUGAUGCAGCGACGCCGCGUGGGUGAAGGAGUAUUUCGGUAUGUAAAGCCCUAUCAGCAGGGAAGAUAAUGACGGUACCUGACUAAGAAGCCCCGGCUAACUACGUGCCAGCAGCCGCGGUAAUACGUAGGGGGCAAGCGUUAUCCGGAUUUACUGGGUGUAAAGGGAGCGUAGACGGCAGCGCAAGCCUGGAGUGAAAGGAUGGGGCCUAACCCUGUGACUGCUCUGGGAACUGUGCGGCUGGAGUGCCGGAGGGGUAAGCGGAAUUCCUAGUGUAGCGGUGAAAUGCGUAGAUAUUAGGAGGAACACCAGUGGCGAAGGCGGCUUACUGGACGGCAACUGACGUUGAGGCUCGAAAGCGUGGGGAGCAAACAGGAUUAGAUACCC
rnacentral:rRNA from 1 species